rnacentral:ncRNA from 1 species
AAUAGAGGAGCGUUCGAUAAAGAGUAAGCCGGGGGAGGCGCCGCGCCGAAGAACCUGGCCGAAAGGAAUCAACGCCGAAGAAGCUUGUCCCGCGGCGGGAUCGGCUUCUGGCUGCGGAGUGAAUAACUGUGCGGCUGUCAUCAUACUGUAUGAUGGAGCGCUAUUCG